rnacentral:rRNA from 1 species
GACGAACGCUGGCGGCGUGCUUAACACAUGCAAGUCGAACGGAAAGGCCCUGCUUUUGUGGGGUGCUCGAGUGGCGAACGGGUGAGUAACACGUGAGUAACCUGCCCUUGACUUUGGGAUAACUUCAGGAAACUGGGGCUAAUACCGGAUAGGAGCUCCUGCUGCAUGGUGGGGGUUGGAAAGUUUCGGCGGUUGGGGAUGGACUCGCGGCUUAUCAGCUUGUUGGUGGGGUAGUGGCUUACCAAGGCUUUGACGGGUAGCCGGCCUGAGAGGGUGACCGGCCACAUUGGGACUGAGAUACGGCCCAGACUCCUACGGGAGGCAGCAGUGGGGAAUAUUGCACAAUGGGCGGAAGCCUGAUGCAGCAACGCCGCGUGCGGGAUGACGGCCUUCGGGUUGUAAACCGCUUUCGCCUGUGACGAAGCGUGAGUGACGGUAAUGGGUAAAGAAGCACCGGCUAACUACGUGCCAGCAGCCGCGGUGAUACGUAGGGUGCGAGCGUUGUCCGGAUUUAUUGGGCGUAAAGGGCUCGUAGGUGGUUGAUCGCGUCGGAAGUGUAAUCUUGGGGCUUAACCCUGAGCGUGCUUUCGAUACGGGUUGACUUGAGGAAGGUAGGGGAGAAUGGAAUUCCUGGUGGAGCGGUGGAAUGCGCAGAUAUCAGGAGGAACACCAGUGGCGAAGGCGGUUCUCUGGGCCUUUCCUGACGCUGAGGAGCGGAAGCGUGGGGAGCGAACAGGCUUAGAUACCCUGGUAGUCCACGCUGUAAACGGUGGGUACUAGGUGUGGGGUCCAUUCCACGGGUUCCGUGCCGUAGCUAACGCUUUAAGUACCCCGCCUGGGGAGUACGGCCGCAAGGCUAAAACUCAAAGGAAUUGACGGGGCCCCGCACAAGCGGCGGAGCACGCGGAUUAAUUCGAUGCAACGCGUAGAACCUUACCUGGGUUUGACAUGGAUCGGGAGUGCUCAGAGAUGGGUGUGCCUCUUUUGGGGUCGGUUCACAGGUGGUGCAUGGCUGUCGUCAGCUCGUGUCGUGAGAUGUUGGGUUAAGUCCCGCAACGAGCGCAACCCUUGUUCACUGUUGCCAGCACGUUAUGGUGGGGACUCAGUGGAGACCGCCGGGGUCAACUCGGAGGAAGGUGGGGAUGACGUCAAGUCAUCAUGCCCCUUAUGUCCAGGGCUUCACGCAUGCUACAAUGGCUGGUACAGAGAGUGGCGAGCCUGUGAGGGUGAGCGAAUCUCGGAAAGCCGGUCUCAGUUCGGAUUGGGGUCUGCAACUCGACCUCAUGAAGUCGGAGUCGCUAGUAAUCGCAGAUCAGCAACGCUGCGGUGAAUACGUUCCCGGGGCUUGUACACACCGCCCGUCAAGUCAUGAAAGUUGGUAACACCCGAAGCCGGUGGCCUAACCGUUGUGGGGGAGCCGUCGAAGGUGGGACUGGUGAUUAGGACU